AACGAACGCUGGCGGCGUGCCUAACACAUGCAAGUCGUGCGAGAAAGUUCCUUCGGGAGCGAGUAAAGCGGCGCACGGGUGAGUAACACGUAGGUAACCUGCCCCCCAGUCUGGAACAACUAGAGGAAACUCUAGCUAAUGCCGGAUAAGACCACGGCCCCCCUCGGGGGCUGCGGCCAAAAGAUGGCCUCUACUUGUACGCUAUCGCUGAGGGAUGGGCCUGCGGCCAUUAGCUUGUUGGUGAGGUAACGGCUCACCAAGGCUGUGAUGGCUAGCUGGUCUGAGAGGAUGACCAGCCACACUGGGACUGAGACACGGCCCAGACUCCUACGGAGGCAGC
rnacentral:rRNA from 1 species